rnacentral:rRNA from 1 species
CCUACGGGAGGCAGCAGUGAGGAAUAUUGGUCAAUGGGCGAGAGCCUGAACCAGCCAAGUCGCGUGAAGGAUGAAGGAUCUAUGGUUUGUAAACUUCUUUUAUAUGGGAAUAAAGUGAGGAACGUGUUCCUUUUUGUAUGUACCAUAUGAAUAAGCAUCGGCUAACUCCGUGCCAGCAGCCGCGGUAAUACGGAGGAUGCGAGCGUUAUCCGGAUUUAUUGGGUUUAAAGGGUGCGCAGGCGGAGGCACAAGUCAGCGGUAAAAUCGCGGGGCUCAACCCCGCUCCGCCGUUGAAACUGUGUCCCUUGAGUGCGCGAAGGGUAGGCGGAAUGCGUGGUGUAGCGGUGAAAUGCAUAGAUAUCACGCAGAACUCCGAUCGCGAAGGCAGCCUACCGGCGCGCAACUGACGCUCAUGCACGAAAGCGUGGGUAUCGAACAGGAUUAGAUACCCCUGUAGUC